rnacentral:rRNA from 1 species
CAAGUCGAGCGGGUGUAGCAAUACACUGGCGGCGAACGGGUGAGUAACACGUGGAUGAUCUACCCUUUAGAUCGGGACAACUAGCCGAAAGGUUAGCUAAUACCGGGUAUGACCACGAUCAGUAUCGUCUGAUCGCGGUAAGAGCAGGGGACCGCAAGGCCUUGCGCUAAAGGAUGAGUCCGCGGCUGAUUAGCUAGUUGGCGGGGUAAUGGCCCACCAAGGCGACGAUCAGUAGCCGGCCUGAGAGGGUGAACGGCCACACUGGGACUGAGACACGGCCCAGACUCCUACGGGAGGCAGCAGUAGGGAAUUUUCCACAAUGGGCGAAAGCCUGAUGGAGCAACGCCGCGUGAGGGAUGAAGGAUUUCGGUCUGUAAACCUCUUUGGAGCGGGAAGAACGCCGUUUGGGUUAAUAAUCCAGACGGGUGACGGUACCGCUAGAACAAGACACGGCUAACUUCGUGCCAGCAGCCGCGGUAAUACGAAGGUGUCGAACGUUGUCCGGAAUAACUGGGCGUAAAGGGCGCGUAGGCGGUCGGGUAAGUGAGAUGUGAAAGCUCUGGGCUCAACCCAGGAAUUGCAUUUCAUACUGCUCGACUUGAGUUCGGUAGAGGAGGGCGGAAUUCCAGGUGUAGCGGUGAAAUGCGUAGAUAUCUGGAGGAACACCCGUGGCGAAGGCGGCUCUCUGGUCCGAUACUGACGCUGAGGCGCGAAAGCUAGGGUAGCAAACAGGAUUAGAUACCCUGGUAGUCCUAGCUGUAAACGGUGAGUACUAGGUGUUGGAGGUAUUGACCCCUUCA